GAUUAGAUACCCCACUAUGCUUUGCCCUAAACAUUGAUAGUCUUAUACAACCACUAUCCGCCCGGGUACUACGAGCAGCAGCUUAAAACCCAAAGGACUUGGCGGUGCUUUAGACCCACCUAGAGGAGCCUGUUCUAAAACCGAUAACCCCCGUUCAACCUCACCUUUCCUUGUUCUCCCCGCCUAUAUACCGCCGUCGUCAGCUUACCCUAUGAAGGCCCCUUAGUAAGCACAAUUGGCACAGCCCAAAACGUCAGGUCGAGGUGUAGCGUAUGGAAAGGGAAGAAAUGGGCUACAUUCCCUGUUACAGCGAAUUACGGAUAAUAUUACUGAAACGUGUAUCUAGAAGGAGGAUUUAGCAGUAAGCAGAAAAUAGAGCGUUCUGCUGAAACCGGCCCUGAAGCGCGCACACACCGCCCGUCA
rnacentral:rRNA from 1 species